AACUGGCUGCUUUGUUCGUAAUGAUAAUAAAGUUUUAACCUUUAAGCUGUAAUAGGGAGUUUUACAUCGAGCGAGGAUGAUAAGCCUUCGUCUACAAGACAAGGAGGACAUCAUCUACCGUCUCUGCGAACACCCACUUGGAGAAGUGGUGGUUUAAAACUUUCUUAUAAUGAGUUACGGCAACAGCGGCUGUAU
rnacentral:other from 1 species